CAUGGUUGAUCCUGCCAGUAGUCAUAUGCUUGUCUCAAAGAUUAAACCAUGCAUGUGUAAGUAUAAACGAAUUCAGAUUGUGAAACUACGAAUGGCUCAUUAAAUAAGUUAUAGUUUGUUUGAUGGUAACUACUACUCGGAUAAUCUUAGUAAUUCUAUAACCAAUACAUGAACCAACCUCCAACUUCUGGAAAAGAUGCAUUUAAUAGAUAAAAGGUCAACGCGGGCUUUGGCUGUUUCUCUGAUGAUUCAUGAUAACUCGACGUAUCGCAUGACCUUAGUGCUGGCGACGCAUCAUUCAAACUUCUGCCCUAUCAACUUUCGAUGGUAGGAUAGUGGCCUACCAUGGUGGUAACGGGUGAGGAGAAUUAGGGUUCGAUUCCGGAGAGGGAGCCUGAGAAACGGCUACCACAUCCAAUGAAGGCAGCAGGCGCGCAAAUUACCCAAUCCUGACACGGGGAGGUAGUGACAAUAAAUAACAAUACAGGUCUGUUCGAGUCUGGUAAUGGGAAUAAAUACAAUCUAAAUCCCUUAACGAGGAUCCAUUAGAGGUCAAGUCUGGUGCUAUCAGCCGCGGUAAUUCUAGCUCCAGUACCGUAUAUUUAAGUUGUUGCAGUUAAAAAGCUCAUAGUUGAACCUUGGGAUGGGUCGCCUGGUCCGCCUUCGGUGAGCACCGGUCGCCUUGUCCCUUCUGUCGGCGAUACGCUCAUGGCCUUAACUGGCCAGGUCGUGCCUCCGGCGCAAGCACACGCUCUGUAUACAUUAGCAUGGGAUAAUAUCAUAGGAUUUCGAUCCUAUUGUGUUGGCCUUGGGGAUCGGAGUAAUGAUUAAUAGGGACAGCCGGGGGCAUUCGUAUUUCAUAGUCAGAGGUGAAAUUCUUGGAUUUAUGAAAGAUGAAAAAAUGCGAAAGCAUUUACCAAAGAUGUUUUCAUUAAUCAAGAAUGAAAUUUGGGGGCUCGAAGACGAUCAGAUACAAUCCUAGUCUCAACCAUAAAUGAUGCCGACUAGGGAUCAGCGGAUGUUGCUUUCAGAACGCCGUUGGCACCUUAUGAGGAAUCAAAGUUUUUGGGUUACAGGGGGAGUAUUGUCGCAAGGCUGUAACUUAAAGGAAUUGACGAAAGGGCACCACCAAGAAUGGAGCCUGCGGCUUAAUUUAACUCAACAUGGAGAAAUGUGGGAACCGAAAUUUGCACUGUCGAUUUCCGUAUAAAUAAGGAAACUAGGAAAACCCUAAUUUCCCAGAGGUCUCGGAUAUCUGCUAAUACCACAUGCCAAGCAAUCAGAACACAAUAAUGACAACGAUAAAGUAUAAGAAAUCGUAAAAGAGAGCAAAAGGAGUUUUAUUCCGAAUCCGCGUAUGAGCGUUACAACAAGGUAGAAGCCUUGGCUACGAGAGCUAUCGGCGAGAUUCCUAGUUCUAACAACC
rnacentral:rRNA from 1 species